rnacentral:rRNA from 1 species
AUACGGAGGAUGCAAGCGUUAUCCGGAUUUAUUGGGUUUAAAGGGUGCGUAGGCGGUUUGCUAAGCGGGAGGGGAAAUGCCGGCGCUCAACGUCGGAAGUGCCUCCCGAACUGGUGGACUUGAAUGACUCUGCCGUGGGAGGAAUGUGUAGGGUAGCGGUGAAAUGCUUAGAGAUUACACGGAACACCGAUUGCGAAGGCAUCUCACGAAGGGUUGAUUGACGCUGAGGCACGAAAGCGUGGGGAUCAAACAGGAUUAGAUACCCUGGUAGUCCACGCAGUAAACGAUGAUGGCUAACCGCUGGAUCCAUCGGUUCAGUGGCCAAGCGAAAGCGAUAAGCCAUCCACCUGGGGAGUACGACCGCAAGGUUGAAACUCAAAUGAAUUGACGGGG